rnacentral:miRNA from 1 species
AGACGUUCGCACUUUUUAAAAUGC